UACGUAGGGGGCAAGCGUUAUCCGGAUUCACUGGGUGUAAAGGGAGCGCAGGCGGUACGGCGAGUCUGAUGUGAAAACCCGGGGCCCAACCCCGGGACCGCACCGGAUACUGCCGGACUCGAGUGCCGGAGGGGCAGGCGGAAUUCCUGGUGUAGCGGUGAAAUGCGCAGAUAUCAGGAGGAACACCGGUGGCGAAGGCGGCCUGCUGGACAUUAACUGACGCUGAGGCGCGAAAGCGUGGGGAGCAAACAGG
rnacentral:rRNA from 1 species